rnacentral:lncRNA from 1 species
AUUUGCUACCACAUCUUAGAUUUUAGGUUUACAGAAAGAAAAGACACAGCCCUGGCCCUCAAGAAGCUCUUAGGUUUCCGUGAAAAACAAUAACAUAAUUAUAAUAUACUGUGCUAAAUGCUGUGAGAGAAGCAAUGAUUUAUGGGACUAGUAAAUAAAGUGAGUUUUGGAGAUGACAAAAGUUAAUGCAGGGAGGCAGAAAUAGGUGUUUGCAAAGCAGUGUGUGGAAAAGGACAGAGGAGGUAGAAUGAAGGGACUGCUUUCUUUAUUUUGUGUUUAAGUUCAUAGCAUCUUAUAGAAGAUUUUUAUUUCAGUUGAAAAAUAUGUAAUUUUGUGAAUUAUAAAUUGCUUUCUUACAGGAGGGAAACAUGAUUGUUUUACUUGCUAUAAUUUGCAAGAGGCAACAAAUGGUGACAUUUUUAGUGAAGAACCAGCCAAAUGUACAUGCUGUUGACAAUUUCGAGAAGAACAGCCCACAUGCUUGCCACACAUCAUAACUUGCCAAGUAUAGUCAGCCUUCUCCUUGAAGAAAAUAUUAGAGUCUUUUCUCAGGAUAUGUUUGGACAAACAGCAGACGAUUAUGCUGUUUGUUGUGAUUUGAUAAGGCAGUCUUACUGCUAUUUUGUAGAACGUGGGAUUAUGCUGGAAAUGUCUGUUUUGAGAUUCUCCACAGAAAGUGUUUGCAAACCGCUGAAUGCACACCUCCUGGAUAUUUAUGAGUUGAAUGGUCGACUCUCUCCCAGGUGUUCUGUUUGCUUGUUAAAAAAGACCAAGGAAUAA